rnacentral:rRNA from 1 species
UACGGAGGUGGCAAGCGUUGUUCGGAAUUACUGGGCGUAAAGGGCGCGUAGGCGGCCAUCUAAGUCAGACGUGAAAUCCCCCGGCUUAACCUGGGAACUGCGUCUGAUACUGGAAGGCUUGAGUAUGGGAGAGGGAUGUAGAAUUCCAGGUGUAGCGGUGAAAUGCGCAGAUAUCGGGAGGAACACCAGUAGCGAAGGCGGCACUCUGGGCCGGUACUGACGCUGAGGAGCGAAAGCGUGGGGAGCGAACAGG